CCUUUCCCGGACGGGACCCUCUCCUCGCCCGCCUGCCCCCUGCACCCCGGAAGCCCCACUCCUUUCUCCCUAGUGCGAGUGCGCCCGAGCGUUGACUUUCGAUGACUCCCUUUCCCCCGCCUCGCAGGGACCUUCAGCGGCUCCCCGCCCCCCCCAUCCGGCCUCGCAGACGCGGCUCCGGGGCGGGAGGGGUGGGGGACGGCGGUAUAAAGGGCGGGAGACUGCGCGGGCCGAACCCCGAGACGUGGCGCCCACCCUGCCGGCCUCAGCUCCAGCCACGUCUCUGCACUGCCGCCCCUGUGGAGUGGAACCCAGGUCACCCCCGGGAAGAGGCGAAGAUGCCGCUGUAGGUCAGGAGUGCCCGCAAAGGGAAACCUGGAUAUCUGUGAUCCGUACGCCGUAAUGAGAUACUAUUAAUGUCAUGAAAAACCUCCGUCCAGAAAUCGUGGCCUCCGGUGUUUACAUCUUCACUGGCUUUUCCUACAGGAGAGCCAGGGGCCAACACAUCACAGUCAUCAACCACAGGCAUCCCUGCCCUCCGGUUUUCCUUCUUUUAGAUCCAUGGCAUUUGAGGGUUCGUAAAACUGCUGGAUCAUCUGAUCAACCCCGUGUGUGUGUGCUUGUAGAUGGCCACAUAUUGGUAAAAAGAUAGGCCAUUUAAUGCCUCGCUGA